CAGAGUUAGCCGUGGCUUAUUCUUAGGGUACCGUCACUAUCUUCCCCUACAAAAGAAGUUUACAACCCGAAGGCCUUCAUCCUCCACGCGGCGUCGCUGCGUCAGGGUUUCCCCCAUUGCGCAAAAUUCCCCA
rnacentral:rRNA from 1 species